AUGUAUCUGCCUGGUCAAGAAUGUGUAAUAGUUUUGCUAUUAGUUUACGGACGGCGAUUAGCGCCAAAAUUGCUUGUUUUUUGUGGUGAACGUUUGCUUAGCAGUUCCACUCGAGGUCUCGCUGGAUUCUCCCCACCUGACCAAGAGCCGCCUCUUGGUUGUUUACUCGUUCUUCUUGAUGUUGGAUCCGCAAAUUGUUUGUUGGAUGUACGCUUCAAAGGAGAAUUUUCAAUAGUGAGAUUGUUUUGUAUGCUUGGCUCUUUUUUCCUCGAGCAUUCCCAGAGUCGGUUUGACUCAAAUUUGCACUAUUAUUUGCUUGUAAAUGCAGAAGACUGA
rnacentral:rRNA from 1 species